rnacentral:rRNA from 1 species
AACGAACGCUGGCGGCAGGCCUAAAACAUGCAAGUCGAACGAACCUUCGGGUUAGUGGCGCACGGGUGAGUAACACGUGGGAAUGUACCUCUUGGUGCGGAAUAACGUAGGGAAACUUACGCUAAUACCGCAUAAUAUCUACGGAUCAAAGAUUUAUCGCCAAGAGAUCAGCCCGCGCUAGAUUAGGUAGUUGGUGAGGU